UUUCCGUAGGUGAACCUGCGGAAGGAUCAUUAUUGUAUAAUCGAGGGUCGAGUGCUAUCGCUUACCCAACACGUCCUGAACGCCCGAAUGCACUCACACACAUCCAACUCACCCCGAUGUGCACCACUGCCUGAGCCCCACUCUUGCUUGUUCGGAGGGGGUAUUACGUUUUCACGCAUGCUAUGUAUGAACUGUACAAUGUAUAAUUUGUUAUUGCGAUUCCGCUAUCUAUACAACUUUCAACAACCGAACUCUUGCCGCUCGCAACGAUGAAGAACC
rnacentral:misc_RNA from 1 species